ensembl:lncRNA
CAAAACCCUGCGGGCCAAGGGAGCCCCUGGAAAAGCUUCCAGUGCUACAACUCUUCUGUGAAGUCUCCCUGCCUCCUGGGCUGCUCUGUUAACAAGAUGUAAUUCAGUUUCAUCAUUUCGGAUUCAGCUCCACUGAAUGAAACAACCUUGCUCCUGAUGCUAAGCCCACAGGGCAGCUCUACUGGUCAGCACCUGGGCAGGGAAGAGUCACUUUCCGACCUCUGAUGUAGACCUGAGAGGCUCUUCAUGCACCUCAACUGCACUGGAAGUCAUAUAGAAGGGGUUAAGAAUCUGCCCACCAAUGCAGGGGACAUGGGUUCGAUCCUGGUCCAGGAAGACCUCACAUGCCACAGAGCAGCUAAGCCCGUGCACCACAACAACUGAAGCCUGCAUGCCCUAGAGCCCAUCCUCUGUAAGAACAGAAGCCGCUCCAAUGAGAAGCCAGCACACCACAAUGGG